rnacentral:rRNA from 1 species
AGAUUGAACGCUAGCGGGAUGCUUUACACAUGCAAGUCGAACGGCAGCGCGGACUUCGGUCUGGCGGCGAGUGGCGAACGGGUGAGUAAUAUAUCGGAACGUGCCCAGUAGCGGGGGAUAACUACGCGAAAGCGUGGCUAAUACCGCAUACGCCCUACGGGGGAAAGGGGGGAUUCUUCGGGACCUCUCACUAUUGGAGCGGCCGAUAUCAGAUUAGCUAGUUGGUGAGGUAAAGGCUCACCAAGGCGACGAUCUGUAGCUGGUUUGAGAGGACGACCAGCCACACUGGGACUGAGACACGGCCCAGACUCCUACGGGAGGCAGCAGUGGGAAUUUGGACAUGGGGGAAACCUGAUCCAGCCAUCCCGCGUGUGCGAUGAAGG